GAUGAAGAACGCAGUGAAAUGCGAUAAGUAAUGUGAAUUGCAGAAUUCAGUGAAUCAUCGAAUCUUUGAACGCACAUUGCGCCCGCCAGUAUUCUGGCGGGCAUGCCUGUCUGAGCGUCAUUUCAACCCUCAAGCAACUUCUGCUUGGUGUUGGGGAUCGGCCGUCAAACGCCGCCCCCGAAAUCUAUUGGCGAUCUCGCUGUAGCUUCCUAUGCGUAGUAGUAACAUCUCGCAUCUGGAGAGCGGCGCGGUCAUGCCGUAAAACACCCAACUUCUCAGGUUGACCGCAGAUCAGGUAGGAAUACCCGCUGAACUUAAGCAUAUCAAUAAGCGGAGGA
rnacentral:misc_RNA from 1 species